rnacentral:rRNA from 1 species
UACGGAGGAUCCGAGCGUUAUCCGGAUUUAUUGGGUUUAAAGGGUGCGUAGGCGGCCUAUUAAGUCAGGGGUGAAAGACGGUAGCUUAACUAUCGCAGUGCCUUUGAUACUGAUGGGCUUGAAUGUAGUUGAGGUAGGCGGAAUGUGACAAGUAGCGGUGAAAUGCAUAGAUAUGUCACAGAACACCAAUUGUGAAGGCAGCUUACUAAAGUAUGAUUGACGCUGAGGCACGAAAAGCGUGGGGGAUCAAAACAGG